UUGCAUUUAGUUUACUAUUGUAUUGGAUUUUAAAAAAAGAGAAGAAAUUCAAAAAAAAAAUUCAAAAAAAUCAAAUAAAAAAGGAAAAAAAGAAGUGACAAAAAAUCGAGUUAAAAAAAAGAAGAAAGAAAAAAAGUGAAAAGUCUUCGAGAUUUUAUCAUUAUCACUUAUUACUCCGAUCAUCAAGUUUCCCUUCCUACCAACGCCACAUUUUAAACCAAUUUUCUUCUUUGUUCAACCUACCCUACACCCGAC
rnacentral:lncRNA from 1 species